GAUGAACGCUGGCGGCGUGCCUAAUACAUGCAAGUCGAGCGAACGGACGAGAAGCUUGCUUCUCUGAUGUUAGCGGCGGACGGGUGAGUAACACGUGGAUAACCUACCUAUAAGACUGGGAUAACUUCGGGAAACCGGAGCUAAUACCGGAUAAUAUUUUGAACCGCAUGGUUCAAAAGUGAAAGACGGUCUUGCUGUCACUUAUAGAUGGAUCCGCGCUGCAUUAGCUAGUUGGUAAGGUAACGGCUUACCAAGGCAACGAUGCAUAGCCGACCUGAGAGGGUGAUCGGCCACACUGGAACUGAGACACGGUCCAGACUCCUACGGGAGGCAGCAGUAGGGAAUCUUCCGCAAUGGGCGAAAGCCCGACGGAGCAACGCCGCGUGAGUGAUGAAGGUCUUCGGAUCGUAAAACUCUGUUAUUAGGGAAGAACAUAUGUGUAAGUAACUGUGCACAUCUUGACGGUACCUAAUCAGAAAGCCACGGCUAACUACGUGCCAGCAGCCGCGGUAAUACGUAGGUGGCAAGCGUUAUCCGGAAUUAUUGGGCGUAAAGCGCGCGUAGGCGGUUUUUUAAGUCUGAUGUGAAAGCCCACGGCUCAACCGUGGAGGGUCAUUGGAAACUGGAAAACUUGAGUGCAGAAGAGGAAAGUGGAAUUCCAUGUGUAGCGGUGAAAUGCGCAGAGAUAUGGAGGAACACCAGUGGCGAAGGCGACUUUCUGGUCUGUAACUGACGCUGAUGUGCGAAAGCGUGGGGAUCAAACAGGAUUAGAUACCCUGGUAGUCCACGCCGUAAACGAUGAGUGCUAAGUGUUAGGGGGUUUCCGCCCCUUAGUGCUGCAGCUAACGCAUUAAGCACUCCGCCUGGGGAGUACGACCGCAAGGUUGAAACUCAAAGGAAUUGACGGGGACCCGCACAAGCGGUGGAGCAUGUGGUUUAAUUCGAAGCAACGCGAAGAACCUUACCAAAUCUUGACAUCCUUUGACAACUCUAGAGAUAGAGCCUUCCCCUUCGGGGGACAAAGUGACAGGUGGUGCAUGGUUGUCGUCAGCUCGUGUCGUGAGAUGUUGGGUUAAGUCCCGCAACGAGCGCAACCCUUAAGCUUAGUUGCCAUCAUUAAGUUGGGCACUCUAAGUUGACUGCCGGUGACAAACCGGAGGAAGGUGGGGAUGACGUCAAAUCAUCAUGCCCCUUAUGAUUUGGGCUACACAUGUGCUACAAUGGACAAUACAAAGGGCAGCGAAACCGCGAGGUCAAGCAAAUCCCAUAAAGUUGUUCUCAGUUCGGAUUGUAGUCUGCAACUCGACUACAUGAAGCUGGAAUCGCUAGUAAUCGUAGAUCAGCAUGCUACGGUGAAUACGUUCCCGGGUCU
rnacentral:rRNA from 1 species